UCCGAGUUGACCCCGGCAGUCUCCUAUGAGUCCCCACCAUCACGUGCUGGCAACAUAGAACGAGGGUUGCGCUCGUUGCGGGACUUAACCCAACACCUCACGGCACGAGCUGACGACAACCAUGCACCACCUGUAUAGGACGCCGAAGCACACCGCAUCUCUGCGGCUUUUCCCUAUAUGUCAAGCCCUGGUAAGGUUCUUCGCGUUGCGUCGAAUUAAGCCACAUGCUCCGCCGCUUGUGCGGGCCCCCGUCAAUUCCUUUGAGUUUUAACCUUGCGGUCGUAAUCCCCAGGCGGGGUGCUUAAUGCGUUAGCUGCGGCACGGAGGGAGUGGAUAACCCCCCACACCUAGCACCCAUCGUUUACGGCGUGGACUAC
rnacentral:misc_RNA from 1 species